rnacentral:rRNA from 1 species
GACGAACGCUGGCGGCGUGCUUAACACAUGCAAGUCGAACGGAAAGGCCCUGCUUUUGUGGGGUGCUCGAGUGGCGAACGGGUGAGUAACACGUGAGUAACCUGCCCUUGACUUUGGGAUAACUUCAGGAAACUGGGGCUAAUACCGGAUAGGAGCUCCUGCUGCAUGGUGGGGGUUGGAAAGUUUCGGCGGUUGGGGAUGGACUCGCGGCUUAUCAGCUUGUUGGUGGGGUAGUGGCUUACCAAGGCUUUGACGGGUAGCCGGCCUGAGAGGGUGACCGGCCACACUGGGACUGAGAUACGGCCCAGACUCCUACGGGAGGCAGCAGUGGGGAAUAUUGCACAAUGGGCGGAAGCCUGAUGCAGCAACGCCGCGUGCGGGAUGCCGGCCUUCGGGUUGUAAACCGCUUUCGCCUGUGACGAAGCGUGAGUGACGGUAAUGGGUAAAGAAGCACCGGCUAACUACGUG